rnacentral:rRNA from 1 species
ACGGGGUGCAGCAGGCGCGAAAACUUCACAAUGUGGGAAACCGCGAUGAGGGGAUUCCAAGUGCUAACACUUUGUGUUAGCUGUUCACCUGCCUAAAAAGCUGGUGAAGUAAGGGCCGGGUAAGACGGGUGCCAGCCGCCGCGGUAAUACCUGCGGCCCGAGUGGUGGUCGUUAUUAUUGAGCCUAAAGCGUCCGUAGCCGGUUCAGUAAAUCUCUGGGUAAAUCGGGCAGCUCAACUGUCCGAAUUCCGGAAAGACUGCUGAACUUGGGACCGGGGGAGGUUGGAGGUACUCCUGGGGUAGGGGUGAAAUCCUGUAAUCCUAGGGGGACCACCAGUGGCGAAGGCGUCCAACCAAAACGGCUCCGACGGUAAGGGACGAAGCCCUGGGGCGCAAACGGGAUUAGAUACCCCGGUAGUCCAGGGUGUAAACGCUGCUUGCUUGAUGUUAGUUGGGCUCCGAGCCCAACUAGUGUCGGAGAGAAGUUGUUAAGCAAGCUGCCUGGAAGUACGUCGCAAGAC